CGCACAUUGCGCCCUUUGGUAUUCCUUAGGGCAUGCCUGUUCGAGCGUCAUUUAAAAAUUCAAGCAUUGCUUGGUGAUGGGUGUCUGUCUUGCCACUGUUGCAUAGACUCGCCUUGAAAGAAGUUGGCAGCCUCUUAUUAGUAGCUCUGUACGCAGCAGAAUUGCAGAAGAGCUCUAUAGAAAGGUUUUCCAAUAAGCAAACCAACCUUAGAUUGACCUCGGAUCAGGUAGGGAUACCCGCUGAACUUAA
rnacentral:misc_RNA from 1 species